rnacentral:rRNA from 1 species
GAGGAAUCUUCCACAAUGGGCGAAAGCCUGAUGGAGCAACGCCGCGUGCAGGAUGAAGGCCCUCGGGUCGUAAACUGCUUUUAUAAGUGAAGAAUAUGACGGUAACUUAUGAAUAAGCACCGGCUAACUACGUGCCAGCAGCCGCGGUCAUACGUAGGGU